rnacentral:misc_RNA from 1 species
GAUGAAGAACGCAGUGAAAUGCGAUAAGUAAUGUGAAUUGCAGAAUUCAGUGAAUCAUCGAAUCUUUGAACGCACAUUGCGCCCGCCAGUAUUCUGGUGGGCAUGCCUGUCCGAGCGUCAUUUCAACCCUCGAACCCCUCCGGGGGGUCGGCGUUGGGGAUCGGGAACCCCUAAGACGGGAUCCCGGCCCCGAAAUACAGUGGCGGUCUCGCCGCAGCCUCUCCUGCGCAGUAGUUUGCACAACUCGCACCGGGAGCGCGGCGCGUCCACGUCCGUAAAACACCCAACUUUCUGAAAUGUUGACCUCGGAUCAGGUAGGAAUACCCGCUGAACUUAAGCAUAUCAAUAAGCGGAGGA